rnacentral:sRNA from 1 species
UUGUCCUUUUGCUCUCCCCAACCCUACCCCCAAGAGCUCAGUGACUUUUUUUGCAGAUGUCUUUAGAGGCUCUUGGACACACAAUGUCUUCCUGUUUCUCAUCCUCCUUGCAGGUAUGGCUUUGUAAUUGCUGUCACCACCAUUGACAAUAUUGGUGCUGGUGUGAUCCAGCCAGGCCGAGGCUUUGUCCUUUAUCCAGUUAAGUACAAGGCCAUUGUUUUCCGGCCCUUUAAAGGGGAGGUCGUGGAUGCUGUUGUCACUCAGGUCAACAAGGUUGGACUCUUCACAGAAAUUGGGCCCAUGUCUUGCUUCAUCUCUCGACAUUCCAUCCCUUCAGAAAUGGAGUUUGAUCCUAAUUCCAACCCACCAUGUUACAAGACAAUGGAUGAGGAUAUUGUGAUUCAGCAGGACGAUGAGAUCCGCUUAAAGAUUGUGGGGACCCGUGUGGACAAGAAUGACAUUUUUGCUAUUGGCUCCCUGAUGGACGAUUACUUGGGGCUUGUAAGCUGAGCCUGGUGGCCUCCUACCCUUGGUCCUACUCUAGGAAGUGUGAUUGUCACACUUACCAUGUUGUCCAGAGGUCCAGUCUGGCUGCUGUUGUGGAGGCAAGGAAGGCAACUCAUCCCAGAAGGCAUCUGGUGCUUCUUUUAGCUUAGCUACUGCCUCCUGAUUUUUCAGUAUGUGUUCUAAGUAUAAAAAGUCCUUGGUUC